AGAGUUUGAUCCUGGCUCAGAGCGAACGCUGGCGGCGUGCUUAACACAUGCAAGUCGAACGCGCAGCAUUCUGUAGCAAUACAGGGUGUGGGCGCGUGGCGAACGGGUGCGUAACACGUGGAUAACCUUCCUUCAGGUGGGGAAUAACCCAGUGAAAAUUGGGCUAAUACCGCAUAACAUGACGAUGGCACAUGCUGUUGUCUUCAAAGGCGCAAGUCGCCAGAAGAGGGAUCCGCGGCCGAUUAGCUUGUUGGCGAGGUAAUGGCUCACCAAGGCAUUGAUCGGUAGCCGGACUGAGAGGUUGACCGGCCACACUGGAACUGAGACACGGUCCAGACUCCUACGGGAGGCAGCAGUGGGGAAUCUUGCACAAUGGACGAAAGUCUGAUGCAGCAACGCCGCGUGGGGGAUGAAGCUUCUCGGAGUGUAAACCCCUUUCGACCCGGAAGAAUGCCCGCAAGGGUUUGACGGUACGGGUAUAAGAAGCCCCGGCUAACUACGUGCCAGCAGCCGCGGUAAUACGUAGGGGGCCAGCGUUGCUCGGAAUUACUGGGCGUAAAGGGUCCGUAGGCGGUGCGGCAAGUCGAGAGUGAAAUCCCUAGGCUUAACCUAGGGGCUGCUAGCGAAACUGCCGUGCUAGAGUGUGAGAGAGGCGAGUGGAAUUACGGGUGUAGCGGUGAAAUGCGUAGAUAUCCGUAGGAACAUCCGAGGCGAAAGCGGCUCGCUGGAUCACAACUGACGCUGAGAGACGAAAGCUAGGGGAGCAAACAGGAUUAGAUACCCUGGUAGUCCUAGCCCUAAACCAUCAGACUUGGGGUUUGCCCUGUACGGGGCAAGUCCCGUAGCUAACGCGUUAAGUCCUGCGCCUGGGGAGUACGGUCGCAAGGCUGAAACUCAAAGGAAUUGACGGGGGCCCGCACAAGCGGUGGAACAUGUGGUUCAUUCGACGCAACGCGA
rnacentral:rRNA from 1 species